GAUCAACAAGUUCAGCACUUUGUCCUCUGCCCCUUGCCUUGAAAUUACUUUUAGAAAACUACGGCAAAAUAAAGUCCAAGCAGCUGAAAUAUAAUAGUAGUAGUUUAACAAGCUACACCACUCCCUCAUCUGGAGCAGCAGUAUACCCAAGCAGAAGGAUUAGUGAUGUGCAGCUGUUUUACCACUUAAUGAAACUUGUCCAUAUGCCUGGCACGUCAGUUGCUUGGAGAUAGGUACUUUCACCAAGUGUCUCCCUUUGACUCUAAAGGCAUCAUUAUUGCAUCCCUUCUUCCCCUUGCCCCAGCAUGGAAGCUGGAAGCUGGCUCUCACACCUCUGCCAUGGCUCUUGGACAUCCAUCUCUCAGACAACGUCUUCUCCACCAUCACAGUGAGAUCCUUUCAUGCCACCAUGUUCCAGCUUGGCAGUAUCACCACUUCCAACAUACAAGGCAUAAAUACGAAAG